UGGGGAAUAUUGGACAAUGGGCGCAAGCCUGAUCCAGCCAUGCCGCGUGAGUGAUGAAGGCCCUAGGGUUGUAAAGCUCUUUCAGCGAGGAGGAUAAUGACGUUACUCGCAGAAGAAGCCCCGGCUAACUUCGUGCCAGCAGCCGCGGUAAUACGAAGGGGGCUAGCGUUGUUCGGAAUCACUGGGCGUAAAGCGCACGUAGGCGGACUUUUAAGUCAGGGGUGAAAUCCCGGGGCUCAACCUCGGAGCUGCCUUUGAUACUGGAAGUCUGGAGUCCGAGAGAGGUGAGUGGAACUCCGAGUGUAGAGGUGAAAUUCGUAGAUAUUCGGAAGAACACCAGUGGCGAAGGCGGCUCACUGGCUCGGUACUGACGCUGAGGUGCGAAAGCGUGGGGAGCAAACAGAUUAGAUACCCCGGUAGUCCACGCCGUAAACGAUGGAAGCUAGCCGUCAGGGUGCAUGCAUCUUGGUGGCGCAGUUAACGCAUUAAGCUUCCCGCCUGGGGAGUACGGUCGCAAGAUUAAAACUCAAAUGAAUUGAC
rnacentral:rRNA from 1 species